rnacentral:rRNA from 1 species
UACGUAGGGCGCAAGCGUUGUCCGGAAUUAUUGGGCGUAAAGAGCUCGUAGGUGGCUUGUUGCGUCUGCCGUGAAAGCCCGUGGCUUAACUGCGGGUCUGCGGUGGAUACGGGCAGGCUAGAGGCUGGUAGGGGCAAGCGGAAUUCCUGGUGUAGCGGUGAAAUGCGCAGAUAUCAGGAGGAACACCGGUGGCGAGGGCGGCUUGCUGGGCCAGUUCUGACGCUGAGAAGCGAAAGCAUGGGGAGCGAACAGG